rnacentral:tRNA from 1 species
GUUGAGGUAGCCGAGAUGGUCUAAGGCGCACGAGAUUAAGGUAGGUUCUGUCCGAGAGGGCGUGGGUUCGAAUCCCAGUUUCAGCA